AUGUCCCUCAUCGAAAGUCUUCGUUUAUUGGGAAAGAAUCAAUAUACUUUUAAUGUCGAAUCGGGAUUCACUAAGACAGAAAUAAAGCAUUGGGUCGAACUCUUCUUUGGUGUUAAGGUGGUAGCUGUGAAUAGCCAUCGACUACCUGGAAAAGGUAGAAGAAUAGGACCUAUUCUGGGCCAUACAAUGCAUUACAGACGUAUGAUCAUACCCUUCAACCGGGUUAUUCUAUUCCACUUCUAG
rnacentral:rRNA from 1 species